rnacentral:rRNA from 1 species
GAUGAACGCUGGCGGCGUGCCUAAUACAUGCAAGUCGAGCGAACAGAUAAGGAGCUUGCUCCUUUGACGUUAGCGGCGGACGGGUGAGUAACACGUGGGUAACCUACCUAUAAGACUGGGAUAACUUCGGGAAACCGGAGCUAAUACCGGAUAAUAUUUCGAACCGCAUGGUUCGAUAGUGAAAGAUGGUUUUGCUAUCACUUAUAGAUGGACCCGCGCCGUAUUAGCUAGUUGGUAAGGUAACGGCUUACCAAGGCGACGAUACGUAGCCGACCUAAGAGGGUGAUCGGCCACACUGGAACUGAGACACGGUCCAGACUCCUACGGGAGGCAGCAGUAGGGAAUCUUCCGCAAUGGGCGAAAGCCUGACGGAGCAACGCCGCGUGAGUGAUGAAGGUCUUCGGAUCGUAAAACUCUGUUAUUAGGGAAGAACAUACGUGUAAGUAACUGUGCACGUCUUGACGGUACCUAAUCAGAAAGCCACGGCUAACUACGUG